GAUGAACGCUGGCGGCGUGCCUAAUACAUGCAAGUCGAGCGAACGGACGAGAAGCUUGCUUCUCUGAUGUUAGCGGCGGACGGGUGAGUAACACGUGGAUAACCUACCUAUAAGACUGGGAUAACUUCGGGAAACCGGAGCUAAUACCGGAUAAUAUUUUGAACCGCAUGGUUCAAAAGUGAAAGACGGUCCUGCUGUCACUUAUAGAUGGAUCCGCGCUGCAUUAGCUAGUUGGUAAGGUAACGGCUUACCAAGGCAACGAUGCAUAGCCGACCUGAGGGGGUGAUCGGCCACACUGGAACUGAGACACGGUCCAGACUCCUACGGGAGGCAGCAGUAGGGAAUCUUCCGCAAUGGGCGAAAGCCUGACGGAGCAACGCCGCGUGAGUGAUGAAGGUCUUCGGAUCGUAAAACUCUGUUAUUAGGGAAGAACAUAUGUGUAAGUAACUGUGCACAUCUUGACGGUACCUAAUCAGAAAGCCACGGCUAACUACGUG
rnacentral:rRNA from 1 species